rnacentral:rRNA from 1 species
CGCUGUCCUCGUGCCAGCGGCGGGGUUAAGACGGGGUUGGCAAUCGUUAAUCGUAAGGUCUGGGCGUAAAGCGUGCGGAGUUUGUUGGUUAAGCGGGUUGUGAAAGCUCCGGUCGUAACCUGGGAACUGCAUUUCGAACUGGCAAUCGAGAGUACAGUAGAGGGUGGCGGAAUUUUCUGUGUAGCGGUGAAAUGCUUAGAUAUUAGGAGGAACACCAGUGGCGAAGGCGACUUACUGGACUGUUAUUGUCACUGAGGCACGAAAGCGUGGGGAGCGAACAGGAUUAGAUCCCCGAGUAGUC